rnacentral:rRNA from 1 species
AUGAACGCUGGCGGCGUGCCUAAUACAUGCAAGUCGAGCGAACAGACGAGGAGCUUGCUCCUCUGACGUUAGCGGCGGACGGGUGAGUAACACGUGGAUAACCUACCUAUAAGACUGGGAUAACUUCGGGAAACCGGAGCUAAUACCGGAUAAUAUAUUGAACCGCAUGGUUCAAUAGUGAAAGACGGUUUUGCUGUCACUUAUAGAUGGAUCCGCGCCGCAUUAGCUAGUUGGUAAGGUAACGGCUUACCAAGGCAACGAUGCGUAGCCGACCUGAGAGGGUGAUCGGCCACACUGGAACUGAGACCCGGCCCAGACUCCUACGGGAGGCAGCAGUAGGGAAUCUUCCGCAAUGGGCGAAAGCCUGACGGAGCAACGCCGCGUGAGUGAUGAAGGUCUUCGGAUCGUAAAACUCUGUUAUUAGGGAAGAACAAAUGUGUAAGUAACUAUGCACGUCUUGACGGUACCUAAUCAGAAAGCCACGGCUAACUACGUG